rnacentral:rRNA from 1 species
UAGUUAUAUGCUUGUCUCAAAGAUUAAGCCAUGCAUGUGAAAGUUCAUCCUUUUGAAUGAGAAACUGCGAAUGGCUCAUUAAAUCAGUUAUGAUCUACGCGAGCGAACAACCACAUGGAUAACCGUGGUAAUUCUAGAGCUAAUACAUGCGUAAAGGGUCCUUCGGGAUUCGCACUUAUUAGAUAAAGCCAACGUAAGGGUAAAACCUUUCGCCUUGGUGAAUCAUAAUAAUUUGGUGAUCGUGUAUGCGACACUCGCUCGAUUUUCUGCCCUAUCAUUGCUAGAUUGUACGAUAGAGGCGUACAAUGGCAGCCACGGGUAACGGGGAAUAAGGGUUCGAUUCCGGAGAGGGAGCCUGAGAAACGGCUACCACAUCCAAGGAAGGCAGCAGGCGCGCAAAUUACCCAAUGCCAAAUAGGCGAGGUAGUGACAAUACAUAACAAUGCAGGGCCUUUACGGUCUUGCAAUUGGAAUGAGUACAAUUUAAAUCCUUUAACGAGGAUCAAUU